AAUCAACCAAUUGACACAUAUAAACUAUAGAAGAACCCUAGGCUACCUUUUCCUGUGCAUCUCCUCCUCCUUUCUCACUGGAAGCUUCUACUGAGACGCUUCGUGCUUUCUGUUCGUCUAAUUUGUAUCUGAUAUCUCCGUAAAUGGCCAAGAAACGAAAGGUCGAGAGAGAGCUUGACUUGUUAGGCGCCGAGCCUGACGCAAAUGGUUCCGACGAGGAGGCAGGAGAAGAAGAGGAGGAGGAAGAAGAUAUCACGAAGGUUCUCGAACCCUUCAACAAAGAACAACUCAUCGAUCUUCUUCGCUGGGCCGCGUCGAACGAUCCCAAAGUUCGCGACGAGAUCAACCGAGUUGCAGACCGCGACCCAGUCCACCGUAAGCUCUUCGUCCAUGGGCUUGGUUGGGAAACCACCUCGGAGAAGCUCCGGGAGUUUUUCUCCCAGUAUGGUGAGCUCGAAGACUGCAACGUCGUCGUUGAUAAAGCUACUGGUAAAUCGAAGGGCUAUGGAUUCUUACUCUUUAAGCACCGUCGUGGCGCAACAAAAGCCCUGAAAGAGCCUCAGAAGAAGAUUGAGAGUCGGAUGACCGCGUGCCAACUUGCGUCGACCGGUCCUGUCAAUCCUUCUCAUUCGAAUCCGAGCACGCACGCCCAGCAAUCGCAGCAGACGCAUCUGGGCUAUCAUCCAUCACAAGAUACGCUAGCAAGGAAGAUUUAUGUGGGUAACGUACAUUCCGAUAUUCCUUCUGAUAAAUUGCUCGCUUUCUUCUCCAAGUAUGGCGAAAUUGAAGAGGGUCCGCUAGGUUUCGAUAAACAGACUGGGAAAUCUAAAGGAUUUGCACUUUUCAUUUAUAAGACUACUGAAGGGGCGAGAAAGGCAUUAGAAGAACCAAAUAAGAGCUUUGAUGGGCACCAGUUGUAUUGCCAGAAGGCGACCGAUAGCCACAAGCUCAGGGCCGCUGCUGCUGCAGCUUCUGCGUCUGGGAAUGCACCUAGUAGUGGUGGGUUUAGUGCACCGAGUGGCGGUGGGUUCAAUGCCCCGGGUGGUAUUGGUUUCGGGGGUCUAGGUGGUGCUGGUUUCAAUGCUUCAGAUGGUUCUAUGGCUCACCAAGUUUCCGCAGCUCCUGCUGCUUUAUUAGGUCAGGGUCUUCUAGCAGGUGGCCUUCCAUUUGGCCAGGGCAUCCCACCGAAUCAGGCGGCUCUUGCUUUACUGGCUGCUGCUGGGCAGAAUCCUGCUGCAUUUGGAGUUCCUCCAGCUGUUAUUGCAUCGUUAAACCCCGCCUUGGCAGCCGCGAUGAAUGCAGGCCCCCAACCAGUGGCACCAUCAACAAUGCCCCAGACAAUGACAGGUUAUGGAAUGGGGAACCCAGGGUAUCAGAACCCACAAACUCAUCAGGCUAACAACUAUCAGAGUGGCCCAAUGGGGCAAGGCCCCGCCCCACAUUCUGCUAUGGGAACCAUGGGAGGAUAUGUAGCACGCUAGGUUUAGUUGUGCAACAUGGCCUGUCUUGCUUCACAAGAUUCUUGUUAUAGUCAAUUAGACAUUCAAAAUGAUGGAUCAUGCCUUCAUAAUGAAUGAGGAGACUUUUCAACAAGAUUUUGAUAUGACACAUCAUUUCAUGUCAUGAAAGGAGGAUUCAAGGCUUCUAUACCUUUUCAAUCUCAAUAAGGAGCCUGAGUUCUCUGAGAUGAGACAUGAAUACUUAUGGCAGUACCAUAGUGUUCUAUAUCUCCUAUGACCUUGUACGUAAAAUGUUUUCUUUAUUUCUCCCAUUAUGUAUUUUGGUUCAAUGGUCAAAUCCUGUUGAUGUCACUUAGCCCUUUUCCCUUUCCAUGUCUGGUUCAGUCUUGGUGGAAUUGGUACAUACGCACUUUAAGAGAGAAGUAUAUAGGAGUGAUAGAGCCAAUGGUACAGGUUCUCACAUGGGCCCUGGCCUGUGGCGAAGCUAUAUAAAAGUAAAAAAAAGCAGCCAAGAAGAGGAAGCCAACCAGCACUCGGAGACGUGUAACCACCGAGAAACUCGAUGAACAGAUAAUUGGUUUGAUUUACUCAACUCGAGCCCGUUUCAUUUCUAUUCAUACAUCCUUUGAGAACCAGAAAAAUUAUCAGGUUGAUGCCGAAUAUUUUUGCCAUAAAACAUUGUAACAGUAGGGUUGCCGAGAUUUUGAGGCGUGUGUUAUUAUUUUCACCUGCCUCUGUUGUGCAAUGAAAUGAGGUAAUGUUUUGAUUAACUUUUCA